CUUGCCCCUAGAAGCCUUGCAGAUAUGGCUGCUGUGUCACACGUACAUCAGUAGGUGGCAGAGAGGAGAGAGGCUAUAUCUAUGCUCAGUGUUAUGACUUAUGAACAUCUGAAUGAUUAGUAGCCUAACAUU